CUCUGUGUGUGCUGCAUGGUGUGUGCAGGUUCGCUCUCUGUGUGUGCUGCAUAGUGUGCGCAGGUUCUCUCUGUGUGUGCUGCAUGGUGUGCGCAGGUUCUCUCUCUGUGUGCUGCAUGGUGUGCGCAGGUUCGCUCUCUGUGUGCUGCAUGGUGUGCGCAGGUUCGCUCUCUGUAUGCUGCAUGGUGUGCGCAGGUUCGCUCUCUGUAUG